GGGGCUGUGGCUCAGUGGUAGAGCACUCACCUAGCAUGUGCAAGGCCCUGGGUUCAAUCCUCAGCACCA
rnacentral:tRNA from 1 species